UUUGCAUACUUUAUGUUAGUCCACACAUAGUAAUUCUGUUUACUAAGUUCAUCAAACAACCCAGCACACUCAAUUACUAAUAGAUUAUUUUAAACUGCCACCAAGAAAGGAUAGUUUGCAUGUCUUUGGGGUUCUGUCUUACUUAACAAGGUAAGCAAACAGUUAAAAACAGACUAAACUUCUUUGUUAUCUGUCAUUUUCUUUCUCUAGAUUUCCACACAAGAUCUCCAUGACAAAUCUCAACAAAUAUUGGCCUGUGUUGUUGAUGGAAUUGCACCACCUCCCAAUUCAUGUAUUGCUGUCCUACCCCUCCCGCCUGAUCACGUGAUUGUACCUGGAGCAAGGGCCUUUAAAGAGCUAACAACGUUGAAAAUCAGCUCACCAGGGUGGGUCCUAAGCCAAUAUGAUUAUGAAUGGGAACUUUGAACACAGAAUAUACAGAGGAAAGACUCUGUGAAGACUCAAAGUAAAAACAGCAACCUAUGAGCAAAGGAAUGAAGACUCAGAAAAUCAAUACUUUGAUUGGAGGAAUUAUGCCUAAAAGUUUUGAGAAUUGUGAGAACAUUUCUGUUAUUUCAGCCUCCCAAUUCGUACACUUGCUCAUUGAUGCUGGGCUUAUGAGUUAACACAACUAGGCAUGAAAAGAAUCAUGGACUGGGUUAUAGCUCAGUGGUAGAGUACUUACCUAGCAUGUACAAGGACCUGGGUUCGAUACUCUGUAACAACAGAAUAUUAAGAUUGGCUUAAAACUGUGUCAUGGCCAAUCUUCAUUGUCAUCUUGACAGGAUUUGGAAGCACUCCAAGGACACAACUUCGGUAUGGUAUGUCUGCAAAUGUGUUUCUAGAGAAGCUUAGGGGAGGGAGAGGGCUUACUCACCUUGACUCUGAGUGGACCAUUCCAUGGGCUAUAGUUUUAUAUUGAGUAAAAGGGGGGGAAAAGAAACCAAGAACACCAAUAUUUAUUUCUUACAGAUUCUUCACCUCAGACAAAAUGUGACCCACUUUAUGACUCCCCUGUUGCCUCCCAUGAUCGACUUAAUCCUGAAAGUUUUAGCCAAGACAACCCCUCCUUAUUUUCUUUUUGUCAUUUAUUUAAUCAUACCAAUAGAAAAAUAAUUACAUAAGGGUGAAUUAAAUUUUAGCCCAGGUUCCACAUCAGGCACCUUAAUCUGGCGUUUUCAAUGGUAUAGGUUAACUUUUGUCUUGUUUGUUUGUUUCUAAGGAUUGCUUUUCUAAUUGUCAAAUGAAUUUUGUUUCUUUUGUUGAUAUUCAUUUAGCAGCUGGGGCUCCAAUGCUCCAAACUCAGAUAAAACUUCUUUUCAAAUUCCGUUAGUAACCUGUUAUAUUUGUGCUGCAUAAUGGCUGUGUAGAGAUCCAAAAAUUGCCUCUGCUCCCAACCUCAUGCAUCUCAAAUAGAGAACAAGGGUGUCAAUUUAUCCUGGCUAUUUCAAUCUCUGAUUCCAAUGCAAAUUACUAUCCUACUGGUUCAAGCUCUUGUCUUCUUGCCUUGGCUAUUCUAAAGACUUCUAAUUAAUAUUCCAUAAUCUCUGUCUCUUAAUUCAUACAGAGUGUACCCUGAUUAUUGCCUCAAAAUGUCUAAUUAUAUAACUUUCAUCUUUGGUGAUUUCAUUAUUUAAAUAAUAAAGGUCUAAUUGUUU
rnacentral:lncRNA from 1 species